rnacentral:rRNA from 1 species
GACGAACGCUGGCGGCGUGCCUAAUACAUGCAAGUCGAACGCAGUGGGGACGGGUGAGUAACACGUGGGUAACCUCCCAUCAGAGGGGAUAACACUUGGAAACAGGUGCUAAACCGAUACUGAUGGAUGGACCCGCGGUGCAUUAGCUAGUUGGUGAGGUAACGGCUCACCAAGGCCACGAUGCAUAGCCGACCUGGGAGGGGGAUCGGACAAACUGGGAUGGGGACACGGCCCAAAGUCCUACGGAAGGCAGCAGUAGGGAAUCUUCGGAAAUGGACGAAAGUCUGACCGAGCAACGCCGCGUGAGUGAAGAAGGUUUUCGGAUCGUAAAACUCUGUUGUUAGGGAAGCGGUAACUAACCAGAAAGCCACGGCUAACUACGUGCCAGCAGCCGCGGUAAUUC